AGCGAACGCUGGCGGCAGGCCUAACACAUGCAAGUCGAACGAACCCUUCGGGGUUAGUGGCGGACGGGUGAGUAACACGUGGGAACGUGCCUUUAGGUUCGGAAUAACUCAGGGAAACUUGUGCUAAUACCGAAUGUGCCCUUCGGGGGAAAGAUUUAUCGCCUUUAGAGCGGCCCGCGUCUGAUUAGCUAGUUGGUGAGGUAAUGGCUCACCAAGGCUACGAUCAGUAGCUGGUCUGAGAGGAUGACCAGCCACAUUGGGACUGAGACACGGCCCAAACUCCUACGGGAGGCAGCAGUGGGGAAUCUUGUGCAAUGGGCGAAAGCCUGACGCAGCCAUGCCGCGUGGAUGAUGAAGGUCUUAGGAUUGUAAAAUCCUUUCACCGGUGAAGAUAAUGACUGUAGCCGGAGAAGAAGCCCCGGCUAACUUCGUGCCAGCCGCCGCCGUAA
rnacentral:rRNA from 1 species